rnacentral:lncRNA from 1 species
GAGCAAGAUAAUGUCACUCUUCAAAUAAGUUCUUAUUGGUUGCUUUUUGAUGGACUUAUCAGCUGCCAGCAAAUACUGGAUUACUAUUUUGGUGAAGCCAUCCAUGGCAGGCCCAGAGAUAGGAACACCUCCGUGUGGAGUCCAAGUAUUGCAGACUACCUAGAAAUUUGCAGAUAAGACUUUAUCAGAGAGCAACACUGGAUACUGCCAAACUCAAGUUGUAAAAUUUAUUUUUGAAUCAAAGUCUCUGUAUAGAGUGUGAGUGGUGCAGAACUCUCUAUAUAGACAAGACUGGCCUGGAACUUGCAGAGAUCUACUUGCUUCUGAUUCUCAG